UACAGAGGGUGCGAGCGUUGUCCGGAAUCACUGGGCGUAAAGCGCACGUAGGCGGCUUCUUAAGUCAGGGGUGAAAUCCUGGAGCUCAACUCCAGAACUGCCUUUGAUACUGAGAAGCUUGAGUCCGGGAGAGGUGAGUGGAACUGCGAGUGUAGAGGUGAAAUUCGUAGAUAUUCGCAAGAACACCAGUGGCGAAGGCGGCUCACUGGCCCGGUACUGACGCUGAGGUGCGAAAGCGUGGGGAGCAAACAGG
rnacentral:rRNA from 1 species